UACAUGGGGUGCAAACGUUGCUCGGAAUUACUGGGCGUAAAGGGCGCGUAGGCGGCAUGGCAAGUCAGGCGUGAAAGGCCUGGGCUCAACCGAGGAACUGCUUUUGAUACUGCCAAGCUAGAGUGCGGAAGGGGCAACUGGAAUUCCCAGUGUAGCGGUGAAAUGCGUAGAUAUUGGGAGGAACACCAGUGGCGAAGGCGGCUCACUGGACCGGUACUGACGCUGAUGCGCGAAAGCGUGGGGAGCAAACGGG
rnacentral:rRNA from 1 species